rnacentral:rRNA from 1 species
GAUGAACGCUGGCGGCGUGCCUAACACAUGCAAGUCGAACGGAGAUUACGGACGGAAGUUUUCGGAUGGAAGACUGUAAUUCUUAGUGGCGGACGGGUGAGUAACGCGUGGGCAACCUGCCCUAUACAGGGGGAUAGCAGCUGGAAACGGCUGGUAAGACCGCAUAAGUCGGUUAAAUCGCAUGAUUUGAUCGGGAAAUGAGCAAUCAGGUAUAGGAUGGGCCCGCGUCCGAUUAGCCAGUUGGCUGGGUAAAAGCCUACCAAAGCGACGAUCGGUAGCCGGACUGAGAGGUCGGACGGCCACAUUGGGACUGAGACACGGCCCAAACUCCUACGGGAGGCAGCAGUGGGGGAUAUUGCACAAUGGAGGAAACUCUGAUGCAGCGACGCCGCGUGAGUGAAGAAGUAUUUCGGUAUGUAAAGCUCUAUCAGCAGGGAAGAUGAUGACGGUACCUGACGAAGAAGCCCCGGCUAACUACGUG